rnacentral:tRNA from 1 species
GCGCUGUGCGCGAGGUCGGCCGGUUCGCUGCCGCCGAGCUGCAGCGCGACCGGAUGCUCGGCCUCGUUGAAAUCGAGAUGGCGCG